rnacentral:rRNA from 1 species
AGAGUUUGAUUAUGGCUCAGGAUGAACGCUGGCGGCGUGCUUAACACAUGCAAGUCGAACGAAACACCUUAUUUGAUUUUCUUCGGAACUGAAGAUUUGGUGAUUGAGUGGCGGACGGGUGAGUAACGCGUGGGUAACCUGCCCUGUACAGGGGGAUAACAGUCAGAAAUGACUGCUAAUACCGCAUAAGACCACAGCACCGCAUGGUGCAGGGGUAAAAACUCCGGUGGUACAGGAUGGACCCGCGUCUGAUUAGCUGGUUGGUGAGGUAACGGCUCACCAAGGCGACGAUCAGUAGCCGGCUUGAGAGAGUGAACGGCCACAUUGGGACUGAGACACGGCCCAA